rnacentral:rRNA from 1 species
GGUUAAGCGACUAAGCGUACACGGUGGAUGCCCUGGCAGUCAGAGGCGAUGAAGGACGUGCUAAUCUGCGAUAAGCGUCGGUAAGGUGAUAUGAACCGUUAUAACCGGCGAUUUCCGAAUGGGGAAACCCAGUGUGUUUCGACACACUAUCAUUAACUGAAUCCAUAGGUUAAUGAGGCGAACCGGGGGAACUGAAACAUCUAAGUACCCCGAGGAAAAGAAAUCAACCGAGAUUCCCCCAGUAGCGGCGAGCGAACGGGGAGCAGCCCAGAGCCUGAAUCAGUGUGUGUGUUAGUGGAAGCGUCUGGAAAGGCGCGCGAUACAGGGUGACAGCCCCGUACACAAAAAUGCACAUGCUGUGAGCUCGAUGAGUAGGGCGGGACACGUGGUAUCCUGUCUGAAUAUGGGGGGACCAUCCUCCAAGGCUAAAUACUCCUGACUGACCGAUAGUGAACCAGUACCGUGAGGGAAAGGCGAAAAGAACCCCGGCGAGGGGAGUGAAAAAGAACCUGAAACCGUGUACGUACAAGCAGUGGGAGCCUCUUUAUGGGGUGACUGCGUACCUUUUGUAUAAUGGGUCAGCGACUUAUAUUCUGUAGCAAGGUUAACCGAAUAGGGGAGCCGAAGGGAAACCGAGUCUUAACUGGGCGUUAAGUUGCAGGGUAUAGACCCGAAACCCGGUGAUCUAGCCAUGGGCAGGUUGAAGGUUGGGUAACACUAACUGGAGGACCGAACCGACUAAUGUUGAAAAAUUAGCGGAUGACUUGUGGCUGGGGGUGAAAGGCCAAUCAAACCGGGAGAUAGCUGGUUCUCCCCGAAAGCUAUUUAGGUAGCGCCUCGUGAAUUCAUCUCCGGGGGUAGAGCACUGUUUCGGCAAGGGGGUCAUCCCGACUUACCAACCCGAUGCAAACUGCGAAUACCGGAGAAUGUUAUCACGGGAGACACACGGCGGGUGCUAACGUCCGUCGUGAAGAGGGAAACAACCCAGACCGCCAGCUAAGGUCCCAAAGUCAUGGUUAAGUGGGAAACGAUGUGGGAAGGCCCAGACAGCCAGGAUGUUGGCUUAGAAGCAGCCAUCAUUUAAAGAAAGCGUAAUAGCUCACUGGUCGAGUCGGCCUGCGCGGAAGAUGUAACGGGGCUAAACCAUGCACCGAAGCUGCGGCAGCGACGCUUAUGCGUUGUUGGGUAGGGGAGCGUUCUGUAAGCCUGUGAAGGUGUGCUGUGAGGCAUGCUGGAGGUAUCAGAAGUGCGAAUGCUGACAUAAGUAACGAUAAAGCGGGUGAAAAGCCCGCUCGCCGGAAGACCAAGGGUUCCUGUCCAACGUUAAUCGGGGCAGGGUGAGUCGACCCCUAAGGCGAGGCCGAAAGGCGUAGUCGAUGGGAAACAGGUUAAUAUUCCUGUACUUGGUGUUACUGCGAAGGGGGGACGGAGAAGGCUAUGUUGGCCGGGCGACGGUUGUCCCGGUUUAAGCGUGUAGGCUGGUUUUCCAGGCAAAUCCGGAAAAUCAAGGCUGAGGCGUGAUGACGAGGCACUACGGUGCUGAAGCAACAAAUGCCCUGCUUCCAGGAAAAGCCUCUAAGCAUCAGGUAACAUCAAAUCGUACCCCAAACCGACACAGGUGGUCAGGUAGAGAAUACCAAGGCGCUUGAGAGAACUCGGGUGAAGGAACUAGGCAAAAUGGUGCCGUAACUUCGGGAGAAGGCACGCUGAUAUGUAGGUGAAGUCCCUCGCGGAUGGAGCUGAAAUCAGUCGAAGAUACCAGCUGGCUGCAACUGUUUAUUAAAAACACAGCACUGUGCAAACACGAAAGUGGACGUAUACGGUGUGACGCCUGCCCGGUGCCGGAAGGUUAAUUGAUGGGGUUAGCGGUAACGCGAAGCUCUUGAUCGAAGCCCCGGUAAACGGCGGCCGUAACUAUAACGGUCCUAAGGUAGCGAAAUUCCUUGUCGGGUAAGUUCCGACCUGCACGAAUGGCGUAAUGAUGGCCAGGCUGUCUCCACCCGAGACUCAGUGAAAUUGAACUCGCUGUGAAGAUGCAGUGUACCCGCGGCAAGACGGAAAGACCCCGUGAACCUUUACUAUAGCUUGACACUGAACAUUGAGCCUUGAUGUGUAGGAUAGGUGGGAGGCUUUGAAGUGUGGACGCCAGUCUGCAUGGAGCCGACCUUGAAAUACCACCCUUUAAUGUUUGAUGUUCUAACGUUGACCCGUAAUCCGGGUUGC